GUCACGACUCCAACUACUGGUGAAUCUAGUAGUUUUACGCUGUAUCGCUAUAUCUUUUAUCGGACCAAAGUAUAUGCAAAUGUUUUGGUUAAUAUAACUUUGAAUUGAGUGGCAUAUUUUCUUAAUUUAACUAUUUGCUUAAUGCUCCUAAGUUUUAGAAAUAUCUCAGAUCGCAACGGAUUCAAAUUUUGAAUUUGAAUUUUCUGACUCCGCCAAAGCCGGACGUACUUUCCCGCCAAAAUGGCUGUUUAGUGCGGAUUCCAGUUUCGCUAGGAAGCAGCUUGGCUUGGUUCGACUCUCAAAACAAUUGAAGUAGCCUAGUUUGAAAGUGUGAACCUGUAUAUUUUACACUAUGCUGCCUGAAGGUUGUAAAACAGAAAGUAUGGAGAAAGAAAUACCGUUACCUAGGUUGUAAACUCUGGACUACUGGUGCUUGUAGACUACCGGUAGAUCUUCAGGUUUUGGAAGUUCGAAAGUGGACAAACAUAUCCUGCCAUUUUACCUCUGGGGCAUUCACAUUUGGCCCUUAUCAAGUCUGUCAUUGUAUCAACACUACAAAAGAAUUUCUGGAAAGCCGAAUCGCCAAGAUAAACAGCCAGUGCAA